GAUUAAUUCCUCAGCUCAACAAGAUUUCAACACCCGAUAAAAGACCUAAUUAUCGCAUCCAUCUUAAGGAUACUACGAUUCAUUACAUGCAUUUGGGAAGAAUCGAUGUUACAUUUGCUUAUGCAUUGUUGAACCAGGGUAUCAACAGACAACUUGUCGGCCCCAUAUAAGACAACGGCUGCAGAAUUUUAUCGGUGAUUAGGAUCGUUCCUCAUAUUUGAUGGCUUCCUUUUGGUCAAUGAAGAUGAUGGGCGGUUAAGAACUUCAAUGGGGGUUCUUUUCCUGCGAAAAAGAAUGGAUUUGAUUCCAGAGCUGAUGAUGGAGAUUGUUGUUGUUGAAUCUGAAUGUGAAGGUUUUUUAAUGGCGAGGGAAUAAUCGGUUAGUCCUUUGUAGUAAGGGCUGUAACCGGAUAAGUUGAUGUUAUGAGUCUUGUUUCUUUUUGAUUCAUUGAAUUCAUGAAGAAGAAGAUCUGGAUUGUUCGACAUUGAUGAAGAAUUGAGAUAGAGAGAAUUGGUCUCUGAUGGAAUGGAUUUGGCAAUGAUUGUGGCUUGAUUGUGAAAGGAUUCAGGUAAAUUUGGCAUUUUCUUGUUUAUCAUUGUUUUCUUAGAAGAUUCAGAUCACUAACGAGAUAUUCAAGGUAACAAACUGUUUUUUUUUUUUUUUUUUUUUUUUUUUAACUUUUGUUCCAAAUCCUUCAAAAUGAAUGUGGAUGGUUUUAUUAUUACCAUUCAAAACAAAUCAUUUUGACUGUUUUUAUUU